AAACCAGCUAUAAUCUACUUGAUCUUGACAUAUAUCUACUUGGAUAACUGUGGUAAUUCUAGAGCUAAUACAUGCACAAAUUCUCUGACCUUGCGGGAAGAGCGCAUUUAUUAGAGCAAAACCAGGCGGCUUCGGUCGUUUUUUGCUGACUCAGAAUAACUCAGCUGAUCGCACGGUCCUUGUACCGGCGACGUGUCUUUUGAGUAUCUGCCUUAUCAAUUUUCGAUGGUAGUGUAUCUGACUACCAUGGUUUUGACGGGUAACGGAGAAUCAGGGUUCGACUCCGGAGAAGGGGCCUGAGAAAUGGCCACUACGUCUAAGGAUGGCAGCAGGCGCGCAAAUUACCCACUCUCGGAAUGAGGAGGUAGUGACGAGAAAUAACGAGACCGUUCUCUUUGAGGCCGGUUAUCGGAAUGGGUACAAUUUAAACCCUUUAACGAGUAUCUAUGAGAGGGCAAGUCUGGUGCCAGCAGCCGCGGUAAUUCCAGCUCUCAAAAUGCAUAGAACCAUUGCUGCGGUUAAAAAGCUCGUAGUUGAAUCUAUGCCUGAGGCUUGGUCCACUCUUUGAGUGCGUACUAGGUUCUUUGGCUUUUCGUCGGUUUUCUUGUCGUGGCCUUUAUUGGUGGCGGCAAGUGGCUGACAAUUUUACUUUGAACAAAUCAGAGUGCUUAAAACAGGCGUCUCGCUUGUAUGCUUUUGCAUAGAAUAAUGGAACACGACUUCGGUCUAGUUUUAUUGGUUUUAUAGAUCGUUGUAAUGAUUAAAAGAGACAAACGGGGGCAUUCGUAUUGUUGCGUGAGAGGUGAAAUUCUUGGACCGCAGCAAGACGACCUACAGCGAAAGCAUUUGCCAAGCUUGUCUUCAUUAAUCAAGAACGAAAGUCAGAGGAUCGAAGGUGAUCAGAUACCGCCCUAGUUCUGACCGUAAACGAUGCCAACUAGCGAUUCGCCGGCGGAUUAUUUGCCCUGGCGAGGAGCUUCCCGGAAACGAAAGUCUUCCGGUUCCGGGGGAAGUAUGGUUGCAAAGCUGAAACUUAAAGGAAUUGACGGAAGGGCACCACCAGGAGUGGAGCCUGCGGCUUAAUUUGACUCAACACGGGAAAACUCACCCGGCCCGGACACUAUAAGGAUUGACAGAUUGAUAGCUCUUUCAUGAUUUGGUGGAUGGUGGUGCAUGGCCGUUCUUAGUUCGUGGAGUGAUUUGUCUGGUUUAUUCCGAUAACGAGCGAGACUCUAGCCUACUAAAUAGUCUGCUCAUUGCUAUUGUGUGGCAGUACUUCCUAGAGGAAUUUUCGGUGUUUAACCGCAUGAAAUUGAGCAAUAACAGGUCUGUGAUGCCCUUAGAUGUCCGGGGCUGCACGCGCGCUACACUGGUAAAGUCAGCGUGCGUCUCCUUUCUCGAAAGAGAUUGGUAAACCAGUGAACGUUUGCCGUGAUAGGGAUCGGAAAUUGCAAUUAUUUUCUGUGAACGAGGAAUUCCAAGUAAAUGUGAGUCAUCAACUCGCGUUGAUUACGUCCCUGCCCUUUGUACACACCGCCCGUCGCUGCCCGGGACUGAGCCAUUUCGAGAAAAUUGGGGAUUGCUGACUGACGGUUCUUCGGGAUUGUCUUUUGGUGAAAACCAGCUUAAUCGUAGUGGCUUGAACCGGGCAAAAGUCGUAACAAGGUGGCUGUAGGUGAACCUGCUGCCGGAUCAUUA
rnacentral:rRNA from 1 species